rnacentral:rRNA from 1 species
UACAUGAAGCCGGAAUCGCUAGUAAUCGCGGAUCAGAAUGCCGCGGUGAAUACGUUCCCGGGUCUUGUACACACCGCCCGUCACACCAUGGGGAGUUGGAAAUGCCCGAAGUCAGUGGCCCAACCGGAAGGGGGGAGCUGCCGAAGGCAGGUUCGAUGACUGGGGUGAAGUCGUAACAAGGUAUC